rnacentral:rRNA from 1 species
UACGUAGGGUGCAAGCGUUAAUCGGAAUUACUGGGCGUAAAGCGUGCGCAGGCGGUUUUGUAAGUUUGUCGUGAAAGCCCCGGGCUCAACCUGGGAAUUGCGAUGAAGACUGCAAGGCUUGAAUCUGGCAGAGGGGGGUAGAAUUCCACGUGUAGCAGUGAAAUUCGUAGAGAUGUGGAGGAACACCGAUGGCGAAGGCAGCCCCCUGGGUCAAGAUUGACGCUCAUGCACGAAAGCGUGGGGAGCAAACAGG